rnacentral:rRNA from 1 species
AAGGGUGGGGAUGACGUACAAGUCCUCAUGGCCCUUAUAGGUGGGCGUACACACGUCAUACAAUGGAGUGGUACAAAGGGUCGCCAACCCGCGAGGGGGAGCCAAUCCCAUAAAGCCAUUCGUAGUCCGGAUCGCAGUCUGCAACUCGACUGCGUGAAGUCGGAAUCGCUAGUAAUCGUGGAUCAGAAUGUCACGGUGAAUACGUUCCCGGGUCUU